rnacentral:rRNA from 1 species
CUACGGGGGGCACCAGUGAGGAAUAUUGCACAAUGGGGGGAACCCUGAUGCAGCAACGCCGCGUGGAGGAUGACGCAUUUCGGUGUGUAAACUCCUUUUAUAUGUCAAGAAAAUGACGGUAGCAUAUGAAUAAGCACCGGCUAACUCCGUGCCAGCAGCCGCGGUAAUACGGAGGGUGCAAGCGUUACUCGGAAUCACUGGGCGUAAAGGACGCGUAGGCGGGUUGGAAAGUCAGGUGUGAAAUCCUACAGCUUAACUGGAGAACUGCACUUGAAACUUCUAAUCUAGAGUAUGGGAGGGGGAGAUGGAAUUAGUGGUGUAGGGGUAAAAUCCGUAGAUAUCACGAGGAAUACCUAAAGCGAAGGCGAUCUCCUGGAACAUUACUGACGCUAAGGCGUGAAAGCGUGGGGAGCAAACAGGAUUAGAUACCCCUGUAGUC